UACAAACCUUCCAUUUUAUUUUUCAGCCCCCUCUCUCUAAAAUCAUGGCUCUCAGAAACGCAAAAUCCUUCUGUCUCUUAGAAAUUCAGCCACCUCCUCUCUCGGAUCUCUGCCCUCGCAGCCCUUUCAUGUCUCAAAUCUUCUCUGCCUGCAACUGAACAACGUACCUCCCCCUUUGUUGACUAGCCCAUCCGUGGUAGAAAAUCGGAAAAACUGACAGCCAAAGGUAAAAUCAUCCUCCAAUCUGUUGUGUUCAUGUCUCAGAUUUAUUUGUUUUAGAGAAAUAGAACUAAAUCUAACACAUGCAUGUCGUUUUAGUUGUUUGAGGACCCCCAAUAAUUUCAAAUCCGAGAGAACAACACAAGAACAACACCCUGAAUCUCCAUCUCAUCUCAACAAAAUCAUGUCUCCCAAGCCUCAAGCCAUCACAGAUUCGAUUGACAGUCUUGUAGAUCGAGACCACUGCACACAUGCAACGUAGGUGUCCGAGAUGCACCAAGAGACUGAAGAGACAACCUCGAAGAGCUCCCAAACUCACGGAUCUGCAAAUUGUUAGCGUACAACCGAGAGACAACAACCUGGAGCUUCCGGUCUAGUGGUUACGGAAGGCAGCAUAAAUGACAAAUGUCUCGGCCUCUGCAAAUAAGUAAGAGGUAUACGGAUCCAUGAUAGAGCCAAGGACACAGAAGUAAACACACAAGAGCAACGGAGGAAAACAGCACUGGCCGCAUGACCCAGAUCGAUGCAUCUGGGAGGUAAAAUUUGAAUCCCUGCAAGUGUAGUUGUUGUAGAUCUGGUAAUAAUAUCUGUACUCAGUUCUGUGGUGUAUGGAUCUGUGAUUUAAUUGUGCUUCCUCCAUGCAUUGCAAAACUGAGCUGCAGAAAUUAACUGCUCUAAAGUUCGUUUAUGUGCUGGAUCUGCAACAAUCACCCCCAAACUUGCAUCUGUGAAUGGCUUUUAUAUGUUGACUGCUUUAAAUUUCCAGCAUAGUGUAGAUGUGGUUGAUGUGAACGUUAGACUUGCUGCUGGGUGCAGGAUUCCAGCAUAGGACGCGCUUUAUUUUCCACGUUCGCAACCUGCAAUUAACCAAUAUGCGU